GACGAACGCUGGCGGCAUGCCUAACACAUGCAAGUCUAGGGGUAGCAAUACCACUGGCGCACGGGUGAGUAACACGUAGGUUAUCUGCCCCCAUCACAGUGACAACCUCGGGAAACCGAGGCUAAACACUGAUGAGGCCGAGAGGUCAAAGCGAAAGCGGAUGGGGAUGAGCCUGCGGCUGAUUAGCUAGUUGGUGAGGUAAUGGCUCACCAAGGCGACGAUCAGUAGCUGGUCUGAGAGGACGAACAGC
rnacentral:rRNA from 1 species